CUCCCUGGGCAACCUGUGUCCGUGCCUCACUGCCCUAACUUCUUAUAUCCAGUCUAAAUCUCUCCUCUUCUAGUUUUGAAACCAUUUCCUCUUGCCCUAAUGUUGGAAAUAUCCAAAUAAUUUAUCAGGACGGUAUCUCUGAUGAAAACGUUUUAUUCAGAAUUGCAGUGGCAGGCAUCCUGCAAACAGGAGUGCACACAGAAAACAGCGUUACAUCUUUAAUGCCCUAUUAUGCUAUACUUAUCUCUUCCUCCCCUGGUUCCUCAUUGUCUGAGUGCUUCAGAUUCACAAUCUUCCCAAUGCUCAGCUAAACAUACAGAUACUGGCUAAACAUAAAUUUUUGUAGCUAAGCAUACACUGCUAAUUAUUUAACUUCCAACAUUUGCUCACUCAGCACUCGGUCAUUAUUUCUGGACAUCUGCUUGUCCUUGGAUAGAGAUAAGUUUGGAAGGAGGAUAAAGGGGAGUAUCUUGGUCUUGAUUCCUGUCUGUUGCAUCCCAACCUACCCACAGAGUGAGGCAGUCUGGCCUUGUGUGGAGGCCCUGGCUUCUUUGAUGGUUGUCAAGUCUGGUUUUUUUCAGCUGAGGGUCUCUUUUCUAUACAGAAUAGCCUUACUAGUCCAUAAUACUAUACCCCUGUUAUUUGCAACAUUUAAACUAUUGCAGUUUUGCAAGGAAGAAUUAUCACAUAAUUGAGCUGCUGUAUUUCUAAAAUCUGCUGCUAAAACAUAUGGUAUUUUUACUUUUUCACAUCAGCUAUUUCUAAGCACAAGUUACAAAAUGCAAAUACAAAUACAUUGUGGUCUGCUUCUUCAGAUCAGUUCCCUCUUUAUGAUAUCUAAUGCAGGAACAACAUUACAUUCCUACACUACCACGACAGACCUGCUAAACUUCUUUAAACUCCCCUUCUUUCUUACAGCCGCCAUUUGGGUACUGAAAGUGCUGCUGUUGAGCAGGAUCAGACCUUAACUGGAUAUGCAACUCUGAAAGCUAUUUGUGUGCUGUGGCUAGUUUUCAAGUUCUGCCUCUUGGGGUCCUCUCUACAGAACUGCCUAAAUUAAAGUGUAGAAUAAACAUGUAGACUUUAAGGAGAAUCUCUGCUGGAAACCACCUGAUGUUUUAUUAACAAAUUGCCCCAUGCAUUUAAGUGAAUAAUAGAUGAGCGUAACUCUGGUGGGACACAAGAACCUGGUAGUGCAAUAUGAUUGCAAGGUGUCUGUAGUAUGAAGUCGUGAGUUGGGCAAAGCUGCCCUGACACUGUGCAGUUGUAGCAGUUCUGACAGGCAUGAAAACAGCCUCAGUACAAAACAGCCCAAAUCUGGAGUGAAGAUGACUGUGCUGUCAUGUCCUUUGUGAAGGGAGUCCUUCCCUAAGAGGAACUCUCCUGAGUCAAGAUCGGGUGGAGAAGAGAAAAUCAGUGCUUGCUUCUAGAUAACAAUCCCUUGUAGUCAUUGGCAGCCGUGUCAUGAGCAGUCCUACUCAGCUGUGUCCUGUCUGCAGCUGUGAGGGGCCUUGGGUGAGACACUGCUGAUCAGCACAGCACCAUCUGGCCAUGUGCCACAGUCGGGGCUAUGCUGCCUUGGAGCACAGGAAAACAGUGUGCUGCAGGGAGGAGGAGCGUGUCCUGUGUCCCUGCUGGCAAACCGAGGAGUUCUGAAGCAAGGUUGAAUCAUCAGUGUGAAGCAGCCUAGAAGAGCAUGUGAUGAUGGUGCUCAGGAUACCUUCCACUGGCAGGCUAAAGGCUGCUGGCAACGACUUCCAAAGAUUCAGGAACUGUGUUUGAAAGGCCAUGUUGUCCCCAGCUUGUGAGACCUCUUUCUAGACCAUGGCAGUGUAUGUGAGCGUGUCUUUCUGAGUACUUUGAUGCAAUCCUCCUGAAUUACAAGGUGGGCUUUAUUUGGUCAUGGUUCUGUAGUGAGAACACAGCUGUCUGCCUGCCCUUGGUUGCCUGCCUGUGAGGCUCAUCUUGCUUCCUUUCUAUGGGAAUUUCUUAUGAGACUUCAGGAGAAGCUCCUCCUCAGCCCAGAUAAAUGACAUGUAAUUCUUGGAUUAUGGCACCAGAUUAAUACAUAAAAAAGUUCUCACAGUUUUGUUCCACGGUGGAUCAAAGGCAGCUACACAAGAACAUGUCUACAUAAGCUGUGAAAAUUAUCACCUCAGAAAAUAGCAGAAUUUUGUUGUACUCAUGUGAUUUUCCAUGUUCUUCUCUCAACCGUGCAAAUGAAUCACAGCAUGCGUGGUGUAUAUAGGAGGACAUUGGUUUCUUAUUAUGAUUUAAACUCUAGUCUGCUUACUCAAUGACAAAUUGAAAACACAUGGCUUUAUUGUGUAGGGCUUUUUUUUUUUUUUUUUAAUGCAUUACAUGCUAGAGCUGUAGUGGCAGCUUCCAGGGACUUUCUGUCCAAACUUCAGCAUGCCUUCAAAAGGAAGCUGGGUAAGCUCUUUAUAAGAAAGCAAGCAGUCCUACAGUGAGCCUGCAGAACAGAGAUUUAUGAUCUUAUUUAACACUUUGUCUUCAUAGUGCUUUCUGAGUGUAACUUGUCCCCUGAGAUCAAAUUCCUUUAGGCAAGUAGAUUUGCUGAAUAGCGAGGUCUGGGAGGAGUGGGCCUAUUUGCAAACUCAGGCCAGCUAUGCUGUAAUAGGAAGAAUGAAAUGGAAGAAACAAAUUGGUGGGAAUAUUUAAGACUACUGGUGCAAAUGACAAUUUGCAGUGUCUACUUAAGUAAGUGAUACUUGUUUAGGAACUGGGCUACAUCUACAGAAAUGUAAGUGAAAGCUGCCCAAAGGUAAAGGUGAAUUUUUUUUAUGGUCCUCAAAUGAGAAAACUGUCAUGUCAAGUUAACCCAAAUGUUCAGGAUUUAGCCAGAAUGAAAUUGUAGCUAAGUGGAAUAUGUAGAAAAGCUUGUUUCACCAAAACCAAUUUAAAAUGGGAAUUUAUUUCUGACUUUUAAAAAAAAAUUAUCUUACCCAGCACAGAAAAAUGUGUUAUUUUCCCAAUUUCUAUACAUGAACUGGCCUGUCUUCCCUUGUUAGCCAGGGGAGAGGAGCAAGACUGGACAAGUGCGUGAGAGCCUGGGCAGUUUUGUGACAUCUCAGGCAUAAAGAGCUGUUUGGCACAGCUGUGGAACAGCUCAGCUUCCUGGACAACUUGGGACCUCUGGAGUCUGUUCUGAGGCUCUCCCAGGACAUCUUCCCUAUUCAGGCUUUUCCCUUCUGCAAGGGAAAUAGAAAUAGCAUAUUUUAGGCACAUGCUAGACUGCUUGCAGUCAAACCAGGAGGCAGAACUUGGCAAGAACCGUCCCAAGGCUGCUCUGGGCUUGCCACAGCACUCGUGGUUGAGGGCACAAAGCCACCUGUUGGGUUUUGCAGCAUCUCGUGGUCUGCUAACCGGCACCCAACUGCAGGUCCCACAGAAAUGCUGUCUGAUUUUUCCCCACAGCCUGGACAGGCCGCUAUCAGAAGGGCCCGCUGAGGCCAAGGCAUUGACAGUGGCUUUAUGCAACUGGGGAACAGCGCGCAGCCUAAUAAGGAACAUCAUUUCUUUCAUGAUGCACAUUAAUCUGCCCUGUUUUCCGUACAAAAAAUGCCUGCAACUCCUGCCAAGCAGCCUUGCCUCAUCUCCUCCUUUAAAAAUUCAUUCCCAGUUACAGCCACAACUACAGAUAACAAUUUACCAGGAAUAAACAAGACUCUGCAUUUUGGGUCAGCUCGGAUUGUUUCCUGGAGUCCCUCGUGACUCAUCAUCACUGUAAGGGUCAUCGUGAAACACACCCCUCUACUGAUGUGCUCUUGGUACAAUCCAAAGAGUUUCAGGUUAAGAAGCUGAGGGGAUCUUUGUCUGCAAGAGUCCGUUUGGAGUUUGAUGUGCCUCGGAGCAGGACCCAUGUCAGCUAGAUACCUCGAGGAAAGGGAGAUACAUCCUUAACCCAUACUAGGAAGGAAGAGGAAAGAAAUUGCUGUAGAAAAGAAGUGUUCCAUACAGAAAAGAUAUGUCUCCAUCAGUUCAACUCUUCAGAGAUCAGAAGUACCACGAGCUGAAAAGGCAAUGUAUCCAGCAGAGACAACUCUUCGAAGAUCCUGAAUUUCCAGCCUCAGAUGAGUCCCUUUUCUAUCAAAAAGCCCCACGAGGAAAAGUUGAAUGGAUGCGUCCAAAGGAUCUCUGUCAAGACCCUUAUCUGUUUGUGAAUGGAAUCAGCUCUCAUGACUUGCACCAAGGCAGCUUGGGGAACUGCUGGUUUGUGGCUGCAUGCUCCUGUUUGGCACUGAGGAAGACACUCUGGCAGCAGGUGAUUCCAGACUUUCAAGAACAAGAAUGGGACCCUAAAACACCAGAGAAAUAUGCUGGGAUUUUCCGUUUCCGUUUCUGGUGCUUUGGUAUAUGGACAGAGGUGGUUAUUGAUGAUCUGCUGCCAACAAUUGAUGGGACAUUGAUCUACUGCCAUUCCAAUGUGGAAAAUGAAUUCUGGAGCGCAUUAUUGGAGAAAGCUUAUGCAAAGUUGGCUGGAUCUUAUGAAGCCCUGGAUGGAGGCAGUGCUGCAGAUGCGAUAGUGGAUUUUACUGGAGCAGUGGCAGAAUCUAUUGAUUUGGUACAGGGAAAAUACAGCGAGACUAUUUCAGAGCAGAUGAAGCUGUUUGAAGAUUUGUUGAAAGUGCAUAAAAGAGGCGGGCUGAUCAGCUGUUUCAUCGCGACUUCUUCUGGAAGAGCCAAUGAGCUGGAGAGAAAGACGGGUCUCGUUGCUGGUCAUGCCUACUCAGUGACUGCAAUUCGGAAGCUGCAUCUUGGAGAAAGUCUGACAUUCUCUUUUAACGCAGAAAAGCUUUUCAUGGUCAGGCUGAGGAAUCCCUGGGGAAACAGAGAGUGGAAUGGUGCCUGGAGUGACAAUUCUGAAGAGUGGAAGAAAGUCAGCAAUGCGGAGCGUAAACGUCUGGGACUCAUUGUUGAGAAUGAUGGAGAGUUCUGGAUGACAUUUGAGGACUGGUGUAAGAAUUUCACUGAUGUGGACAUCUGCCGGAUUGUAAAUACCUCCUACUUCAGUAUCCACAAGACCUGGGAGACAAAAAUGAUGCAUGGGGCUUGGGCAAAGAGUUCAGAGCCCCUGCUAAAUCGCUGUGGCGGGUGCUUUGAUAACACAGAGACCUUUCUUCAGAAUCCCCAGUACAUCUUUGAUGUUAAGAAGACAGAAGACAAAGUGUUGAUCUCAUUACAACAGGAGGAUCGGCGCAGGAGCAAAAAAGUAGGGAAAGGAGACAACAUCAUAAUUGGUUUUGAAAUCCUCAAGGUAGAAGAUAACAGAAGGUAUCGACUACACAAGCUGACUGUGCAGGAGAGAGUAGCCACAUCUCCAUACAUCAAUACACGCAAUGUAUUCUUGAAGAAGAUCCUUAAGCAAGGCCGUUACAUCCUUAUCCCAACUACGUAUCUUCCUGGCAUCGCUACAAAGUUUAUCCUGAGACUCUUCACUGAUGUGCCAUCAAAGCUCAGAGAGCUGACAGCAGAUAAGCCUGAAAUGACAUGUUGGAGUCUUCUUUGUGGCUAUCCACGCAGAAUCACCCAAAUCAAAAUCCACUCUGCAGAAGGCUUACAGGAGCAAGAUGGAUCAGGUGGAGCAGAUCCCUAUGUGCUCAUCAAGUGUGAGAACCAAAAAGUGCGCUCCCCUGUACAACACAAUACUACCAGUGCGAUUUUCAACAAGCAAGUCAUUUUCUACAGGAAGAACAUCGACAGUCCCAUCAUUGUCCAGGUCUGGAACAGCAACAUCUUGUGUGACCAGUUCCUUGGACAGGCGCUGCUGGCAGCUUCACCCAGUGACCCCAGAGAACAGCAGACUCUGCAACUUCGAGGGAGAGGCAGCCAAGAAGCCGAGGAGGUGCCAGGUCACAUCACCGUCAAGGUUUUUUCCAGUGAUGACCUCGUAGAGCUAUGAAUACCAAAGCCCUGCAGAGCCAGACAGAGCUGUCACCUCGCAGCAGGAGGGCUUGUCUGUGCUUUCUGUGUGAAUGACUUAUAAACGAAAAAUCACUUCAGCGUCACCCCAGCAGCCCUCAGUCAGUUUCCGGGCGGGGGGAGAGAAAAACGCGCAGAUCCCCGCACUCCUCUGUUCCCCUCACAGCUGCUCCGCGCCGUUACCGCCCGCAGCUCCGUGUUGGGCGCGCGCGGCCGCAGGGCGGCGCCCGAGCCGCGCGCGGAUCGCUUCAGGCUGUGGUGAGGGGCUCCCGCGCGCCGCCAUUCCGCACCGUCCCCCGCAGGCGGCGCUGCGGCCGCCAUCUUACCUGGCGGCCUGGCACGUGGCGCUUGGGGACUUCAUGGCGUGCUUUGUGGGUGCGACUCAGGUGAGAACACGCGUGAAGAGCUCCUGGUCGUAUAUACGUAUGUGUGCUUAUGCAUUUAUAAAUGAUUAGUUUAUAGAGACAGUUAUGUAAGCUCUGUGUCUAUGUAGAUGUCUGUUAAUGUAGACAGCAGUGUUAUACAAGGAGCUGUAUACCUCUGUGUGCAAUAUUUGUUUUUAAAAGCUUAAAAAUAUAUCUACAUGUACACCUAUACACACGUAUAGUUAAAAAAAAUUGGAUGGCUAGUGAGUGUGUUAGUGAUGGAACAUUCACUAUCUCCCUAUAUACAUUAAAACCUAACUAUAUACAUUAAGCCCACUGUUUGUGUGUGUACGCACCAAUACAUCUAUAAAAUACAUGCUAGAACUCCAUAUAGAUGACUAGAGAGAGAAUUAUGUCUGUAUUUGUGUAUAUAUAUAUAUAUGUACCCCUAGACACAAAUACAUGUUAUGUCCUACAUAAUGUAGUUAGAGUGCAUUACAGUGUCUCCUUUGCAUGGCUGACAUAUGUAGGUAUACAUAGAUAAUACACAUAGUAUUAGGUUUUUGUCUCAGAUCUCAUCCUAUGUAUCUUUUACAUAUGUACCUACACACAGCUCUUUACGUAGAUACACGUAUACAUGAUGGAUUGAGGAUGUUAUGUAUGUGUAUGUAUGUAUAGUUGUGUAUGUAUACAUAGCUAUACACAUGCUUACACUAUAGUUAUCUGUUCAAGGGGCUUUGAAUGUUUGUAUAUACACACAUAUACAUAUAUAUAUAUUACAUACAAACACACAUGUGUAUAUGUGUGUGCAUAUACAUAUAUAUAUAGCCUUAAUUUGCACUGAGGGAGGUUCAUGUAUUAGGAAAAACAAUUUCUUGGAAAGAGUGGUGCUGCACUGGCACAGGCUGUGCAUGGAAGUCAGCAUCCCAGGAGAUGUUCAAGAAAAAGGUCAGCAUGGCACUGAGGGAUGUGGAUAGUGGGCACAUCAGGAUAGGCUGGCAGUGGGACUUGGUGAUCUGAGAGGUCUUUUACAGCCUGAAUGAUUCUUUGAUUCUGUAUGAGAAAGAGGACACUCUUCUGUCUAUGUAUGUGUGUUGUGUGCGUGUACAUAUAUAUACACAUAUAUAAAGUAUGUAUAAUAUAUAGUUUAUAUUAUAGAUCAUGCACAGUAAAUAUAUAUAAAUAGUGUGAUACGUAUUUAUAAAAGGGACUCUAUAUAUACUGUAUAUACGCAACGUAUAAGAUAAAUACUAUAUUACAUGUAGUUGGCUAGAGGGGGAGUAUUUUCCAGAGAGAGGGUGCUAUAUAUGGAUGCUAUAUAUGAUACAUUUAUGCAUAUAACUGUAGCAUAUGCUAGAUACCUUUAAAUAUAUUGGGUAUAUGUAGAAAUAUACUCUGUAUACAUCUGUGUAUACACACUUGCACAAACACAUUAUGUAUAUCUUUUUAGCAAUCUAUAUACAUUUAUGUUCUAAUUAUGUACACAAAAUACAGUGAUUUAUAGUUGUAUGUAUCUGUAUGUGUGUGUAUGUAUAUAUAUAUAAACAUACAUAUAGUGAUGGAAACUGGACUGCCACAAGUCCAUAGGGCUGGAUGAGAUUCACCCAGGAGUGCUGGGGGAACUGGUGGAGGUGAUAGCCGAGCUGCUCGCCAUUAUCUACCAGUGUUCCUUGUUGUCUGGUGAGGUCCCAGAAGGCUGGAGGCUUGCCAGUGUGACUCCCAUCUACAGGAAGGGUUGUAAGAGGAGGAACCAGGAAAUUACAGGCCUAUUAGCCUGACCUCAGUGCCAAGAAAGGUUAUGGAGCAGAUUGUCUUGAGGGAGAUCAUGCUGCAUGUGCGGGACAACCAAGGGGAUCGGGCCUAGCCAGCAUGGGUUCACCAAGGGCAGAUCCUGCUUGACCAACCUGAUCUCCUUCUAUAAUUUAGUGACCCGUCUGGUGGACGAGGGAAAGGCUGUUGAUGUAGUCUACCUAGACUUCAGCAAAGCCUUUGAUGCUGUCUCCCACAGUAUUC